rnacentral:rRNA from 1 species
GGCCUACCAUGGUGGUAACGGGUAACGGGGUGUUAGGGCACGACACCGGAGAGGGAGCCUGAGAAACGGCUACCACAUCCAAGGAUGGCAGCAGGCGCGCAAAUUACCCAAUCCCGACACGGGGAGGUAGUGACAAUAAAUAACAAUACGGGGUUCUUUAGGAUCUCGUAAUUGGAAUGAGUACAAUUUAAAUCUCUUAACGAGGAACAAUUGGAGGGCAAGUCUGGUGCCAGCAGCCGCGGUAAUUCCAGCUCCAAUAGCGUAUAUUAAAGUUGUUGCAGUUAAAAAGCUCGUAGUUGAAUUUCGGGGUUAGUAGGUUGGUCAUGCCUCUGGUAUGUACUGGUCUCACUGAUUCCUCCUUCCUGAUGAACCGUAAUGCCAUUAAUUUGGUGUUGCGGGGAAUCAGGACUGUUACUUUGAAAAAAUUAGAGUGUUUAAAGCAGGCAAGCGCUUGAAUACAUUAGCAUGGAAUAAUGAAAUAGGACGUUUGAUCCUAUUUUGUUGGUUUCUAGGAUUGACGUAAUGAUUAAUAGGGAUAGUUGGGGGCAUUAGUAUUCAAUUGUCAGAGGUGAAAUUCUUGGAUUUAUUGAAGACUAACUACUGCGAAAGCAUUUGCCAAGGAUGUUUUCAUUAAUCAAGAACGAAAGUUAGGGGAUCGAAGACGAUCAGAUACCGUCGUAGUCUUAACCAUAAACUAUGCCGACUAGGGAUCGGAUGAUGUUAAUUUUUUAAUGACUCAUUCGGCGCCUUACG